rnacentral:rRNA from 1 species
CAGUAGCCGCGGUAAUACGAAGGGGGCUAGCGUUGCUCGGAAUGACUGGGCGUAAAGGGCGCGUAGGCGGUUUGUUAAGUCUGUUGUGAAAUCCCCGGGCUCAACCUGGGAAUGGCAAUGGAUACUGGCAAGCUAGAGUGUGUCAGAGGAUGGUGGAAUUCCCGGUGUAGCGGUGAAAUGCGUAGAGAUCGGGAGGAACAUCAGUGACGAAGGCGGCCAUCUGGGACAACACUGACGCUGAGGCACGAAAGCGUGGGGAGCAAACAGGAUUAGAGACCCCCGUAGUCCCUGUCUCUUAACA